CCUACGGGCGGCAGCAGUGGGGAAUAUUGGACAAUGGGGGCAACCCUGAUCCAGCCAUGCCGCGUGUGUGAAGAAGGCCCUCGGGUUGUAAAGCACUUUCAGUGAGGAAGAACGCCUGGUGGUUAAUACCCAUCAGGAAAGACAUCACUCACAGAAGAAGCACCGGCUAACUCCGUGCCAGCAGCCGCGGUAAUACGGAGGGUGCGAGCGUUAAUCGGAAUUACUUGGCGUAAAGCGCGCGUAGGUGGCUUGAUAAGCCGGUUGUGAAAGCCCCGGGCUCAACCUGGGAACGGCAUCCGGAACUGUCAAGCUAGAGUGCAGGAGAGGAAGGUAGAAUUCCCGGUGUAGCGGUGAAAUGCGUAGAGAUCGGGAGGAAUACCAGUGGCGAAGGCGGCCUUCUGGACUGACACUGACACUGAGGUGCGAAAGCGUGGGUAGCAAACAGGAUUAGAUACCCGGGUAGUC
rnacentral:rRNA from 1 species